rnacentral:rRNA from 1 species
GCGAAACCUCUGCAAUGCGGGAAACCGUGACAGGGGGAUCCCAAGUGCUCAUGCAUUGCAUGGGCUGUUCUUUGGUCUAAGUAACCAGAGGAGUAAGGGCUGGGCAAGACCGGUGCCAGCCGCCGCGGUAAUACCGGCAGCUCAAGUGGUAGCCGCGAUUAUUGGGCCUAAAGCGUUCGUAGCCGGAUAAGUAAGUCUUUGGUUAAAUCCUGCGACUUAACCGUGGGAAAUCUAGAGAUACUGCUUGUCUUGAGACCGGGAGAGGUUGGAGGUACUCCCAGGGUAGGGGUGAAAUCCUGUAAUCCUGGGGGGACCACCUGUGGCGAAGGCGUCCAACUGGAACGGGUCUGACGGUGAGGGACGAAACCUAGGGGAGCGAGCC